ACACACACACACACACAGCUCAGUAACUGAAGGUGCCCCUGUUUGGUGGCCCAGGACAAAAGGCUGGCCUACAGAGAGAGAGAGAGCGAGCAAUUGUGGGGUUAGAAGUGAAGCAGAUUACAGCUACUUAUUUCAAUACCGCCAGAACCCACGAGAUUAUGAUGGCAAAUAAGGUAUACUGGAUAAAGUUUCUCCUGAGGGAAUUCAGAGUACAGAUAUCUAGUGCACAGCGUCCCAACUUUUGUGGAAUUGGGGUGCAGAACACCGCUGCCCUGAUGCACAACCAAUUAAGACUGAAAGUGAGACAGAAAGAGCUCAGGGUUUAAUAAUGAACACUCCAGAAACAGAGAGACACCGGCUGUGAG
ensembl:lncRNA